rnacentral:misc_RNA from 1 species
GUGAAUCAUCGAAUCUUUGAACGCAAAUUGCACUCUCUGGUAUUCCGGAGAGUAUGCCUGUUUGAGGGUCAGUUUAUAUAAAAAUCGGUGUGGUUGCUGCCUUUCGUGGUGACGCACCGGAUUGGGGUCGUCUUGCCUUCGGUUAAGCGACCUCAAAUUCUUCAUGUUUUUUUUCGAACGUAUUUAAACGAUUUUACUUACGUUUGUGAUAUGGAUUACUAGGUUUGGCCGUCCUCA